GUGCUGAAUCAUCACCAUGGAAUGUUUUAGAGAAAAAAGUAAUAAAAAGUAAAAAUAUCAACAAUAAAUCAAUUAUGUAGGUUCUGCAAAGUUGAUUGAAAUAGAUGGAAUGUAGGAAAUCUGGACUGUUUCUGAAAAAUAAAAAUAUGAAUGAUUGAGACAAAAAGUCAUCUUGGAAACAACCUGCCUACUGUGGCAAAUUUUAAAGUUUACAAAUACAUGACAUAUUACUUGUGCUGUCAACAUUUUAAAUCAAUCUGAAUUACUUUGAUUUUCCACAUUAAAAUUUCGUAAAAAUGACAAGACAGAAAUUGACACUUGAU
rnacentral:lncRNA from 1 species